GACGAACGCUGGCGGCGUGCUUAACACAUGCAAGUCGAACGGAAAGGCCCUGCUUUUGUGGGGUGCUCGAGUGGCGCACGGGUGAGUAACGCGUGAGUAACCUGCCCUUGACUUUGGGAUAACUUCAGGAAACUGGGGCUAAUACCGGAUAGGAGCUCCUGCUGCAUGGUGGGGGUUGGAAAGUUUCGGCGGUUGGGGAUGGACUCGCGGCUUAUCAGCUUGUUGGUGGGGUAGUGGCUUACCAAGGCUUUGACGGGUAGCCGGCCUGAGAGGGUGACCGGCCACAUUGGGACUGAGAUACGGCCCAGACUCCUACGGGAGGCAGCAGUGGGGAAUAUUGCACAAUGGGCGGAAGCCUGAUGCAGCAACGCCGCGUGCGGGAUGACGGCUUUCGGGUUGUAAACCGCUUUCGCCUGUGACGAAGCGUGAGUGACGGUAAUGGGUAAAGAAGCACCGGCUAACUACGUG
rnacentral:rRNA from 1 species